rnacentral:tRNA from 1 species
GAGAGAGGCGAGACCGCAAAUGAACACUGCUAACGUUUAUUUCCUUGGUUAAACCCCAUGGCUCACUCA